UACGUAGGUCCCGAGCGUUGUCCGGAUUUAUUGGGCGUAAAGCGAGCGCAGGUGGUUUAAUAAGUCUGAUGUAAAAGGCAGUGGCUCAACCAUUGUGUGCAUUGGAAACUGUUAGACUUGAGUGCAGUAGAGGAGAGUGGAAUUCCAUGUGUAGCGGUGAAAUGCGUAGAUAUAUGGAGGAACACCGGUGGCGAAAGCGGCUCUCUGGACUGUAACUGACACUGAGGCUCGAAAACGUGGGUAGCAAACAGG
rnacentral:rRNA from 1 species